rnacentral:rRNA from 1 species
GAAGGGAGCUUGCUCCCGGAUGUUAGCGGCGGACGGGUGAGUAACACGUGGGUAACCUGCCUGUAAGACUGGGAUAACUCCGGGAAACCGGAGCUAAUACCGGAUAGUUCCUUGAACCGCAUGGUUCAAGGAUGAAAGACGGUUUCGGCUGUCACUUACAGAUGGACCCGCGGCGCAUUAGCUAGUUGGUGAGGUAACGGCUCACCAAGGCGACGAUGCGUAGCCGACCUGAGAGGGUGAUCGGCCACACUGGGACUGAGACACGGCCCAGACUCCUACGGGAGGCAGCAGUAGGGAAUCUUCCGCAAUGGACGAAAGUCUGACGGAGCAACGCCGCGUGAGUGAUGAAGGUUUUCGGAUCGUAAAGCUCUGUUGUUAGGGAAGAACAAGUGCAAGAGUAACUGCUUGCACCUUGACGGUACCUAACCAGAAAGCCACGGCUAACUACGUGCCAGCAGCCGCGGUAAUACGUAGGUGGCAAGCGUUGUCCGGAAUUAUUGGGCGUAAAGGGCUCGCAGGCGGUUUCUUAAGUCUGAUGUGAAAGCCCCCGGCUCAACCGGGGAGGGUCAUUGGAAACUGGGAAACUUGAGUGCAGAAGAGGAGAGUGGAAUUCCACGUGUAGCGGUGAAAUGCGUAGAGAUGUGGAGGAACACCAGUGGCGAAGGCGACUCUCUGGUCUGUAACUGACGCUGAGGAGCGAAAGCGUGGGGAGCGAACAGGAUUAGAUACCCUGGUAGUCCACGCCGUAAACGAUGAGUGCUAAGUGUU